UAUAUCAUAUAUACGUUGACAGCAAAAUAAAAGGGGAAGCCAAAAUUAGAGUGGGAGUGACGGAGAGGGAGAGUCCGAACCAAAGGGAGCCAGAGGAUGAGAAGGAGAGGACAGGGGAAGUGAAGGAAGAGGCGUUGCCGGUGAUGAACACAGCCACCGUCGCCGCUUUCUGACCGCCACACCACCAAACCCUAGCCGUUAUAGAGGAGAGGGUGAUCGAAGUAGAGAAGCACCGCGUGAAGGAGGGAAGUUCCAUCGCCAGCGCUGCUUUUAGGGGAAGCCGCUACCACCGCAGCGGGGGAAACGAACAUGGGAGAAGAGGUUUCGUUGAUGCUGUCACAGAGGAAGAGGAUGAGACGUGUGUGAGAGAGUGACGCACCGUGGAGGGACCAUUCCUCUGCCGCUGCCGCUGCCGGAAUCUUUGGUCGCCGCCAUCAAUAGUGGUGAGUCAGUUAAACCCUAGCCAUGAGAACCACCAUCUCUGAACCUUUACUGCUCUGUAAAUACCCAGUAUCUACCUCUGAUGUUCUUGACUAUGUUAUGUUUGUUGGAGCUUGUCUCCAUGGAGCCACUGGCGGGAUGUUGCUGCUGCUGGAACCACCGCGGGGUGCUGCUAGGAAUCGCUGCUGCCCUGCUUCCGCUAUACUUAGGUUCAACAUCCAUUGGCCUGGAGCCGCUUCUGUUUUCGAUUCUAUUGAAUUUGAAAUCUCCGCUUCGUUGCAACCAUGAUCACUGUUGUGGGAGCUAACGCCGCUGCUAUCUUGAUUGAGACUGUUGCAUAGCUAGUAUUGGUCCAGCCAGCUGCCUCGCUAUAAUCCAGCCUCCGGGUUCUUUUAAUCGCGACAUCGAGUGGAAAUACCCUGACUUAAGCAAGGUAUUUUGCUGGAAGGGAUGUUACAGUAUCAAUUUCACAGAGGAAGUUCACAGAGGCGAAGAACAAAGAAGAUGAGCAGAGGACGAGUCACUCACCUGGGGUCGACGGAGGGCUACUGGUGUUGACUGUUGAGGACCGCGCGACGAUGAGACGGGCUACUGCCUGCUGGUGUUGAGAAGAUGAAGACGACGCAGAUGGAGGGCUACUGGGCAGGGAACCAGGCGAAGAAAGAGGGUUGCCAAACGUGAAUACCCCCUGAAGCAACGGGAAGAACACCUGGUAGAGAAACCCAAUCCUGAGUGAAAUAAAUCCCAUCCCGGAUCUGAUGAAAUAGGAUGAAUUGAGACAGUAUUUUAUAAAUACAUAAUUAUCUUGAAUAUAUUAACCAUUUCUUUACUUUGAUAUAUAUAAGAUCCAUCUGUAUAGAUAUCAUCAUCUACAUCCAGGGAUCUAUUAUAUGUAAACAUAGUAUCUAUUUAGAUACGCUCGAAUGACCCCUUUCUCAUAAUGAGAAUGUAGCCACUUUUUUGGAAAUUCUGUUUCGGAUAAUUGAACACCAUUAUAGGUGCAUUUAAUAUACAUUUCUCUAUUCCAAAUUCGGGGGGAAGAACUGGUAAGAGACAUAAAACCAUCCAUUCCGGAUUUAUAUUUGUUCGGAUAAAAUGUUUAGCUAAUUAUUUGGGCCCCGGAGGGGUGACGGGGCGAACUGCUAGUUUUCGGAUACGAGAUAUCCAUCCUAGUCAUUAUGGACGCAUUAGCCCACUUUUCUGUAGGUUAUAUAUUUACUUAUGCAGCGUUCUUGAUUGCCUCUACAUCGGGCAAAUUUGGUUAAUGUUUUUACGAACAUUUUUUUCAAAUAUAUUUUUUAAGUUCAAAUUGGGUUACUUGGGCUGACAACCAGGCGACGGCAGUCGCGCUGAUGACCGGUUACCGCGGCGACGAAGGAGGGCGCGGUGGCAGGUUAGGAUUUGGGCGGCUAGGGUUCACUCUUCUCUGUUCUCUCACUGUGAGAUGAAUAUGAUUCAGAAUCAGCUGAAUCAUGAGUGAAUGGGUUCGGGGGAAGAAAGGGGGGUGGGGUGCAGGGUGCUCCACUGGUCGGGUCGGGUUUAGGGUUUUUUUUUAAAAAAAAAAUAAUAAAACAACGUCGUUUAUGUAGAACCGGCCGGUCACCGGUUCGCCGAUUCUUUGGCAGUUCUUCCCAGGACGGUUUCUACAGGAGGACCAGACCGUUUGCGUCGCCGGUUCGCGGUUAAACCGGUCGAACCGACCGGUCCGGUCCGAUUUUCAAAACCUUAAUAAAAACUAAGAUUUUCAUCUUUUUUCCCAAAUACUAAGUGAAACACGUUGAGGAUGAGAGUUUCAGAGGAAAAACCUAACUCAAACUCUUGUCAAAUUUCAAUUCGCCAUAACUUUCAUUCGAAGUUUCGAUCGAGACAUCGCUUGUAGUCACGCUAUCACCGUGUCGAGCUCUACAAAAUUCACCGAACAAUUUGGUAGGUAAAUCUCAAUUUUUUACCCAGCUGCUCAUUCCCUCAUUUUCGAAAAUCUUAAGCAAAUGUGUUGAGAUUUUGUUGAAUUUUAGUGUUUAGGAUCAAACUAGUUUUGUAGACUUGCUGGGUCUUGUCCCAAAUUUUCAUUAGUAAGGUGAGAAACCUCUAACUCUUGUGAAUUAUUAAUAACUAUAAAUCCUAAGUUGAUUUUGAGUAAUAUUGUUGGUAUUAGAUAUUAAAUUGUGAGUCUUUGGAUUAAAUUGGUGGUGUUGAAAAACUUGAGUUUGAAUGUGGUGGUUGGGAGUUCGUGUUUGGUGAGGAGUUGAAGCGUUGGAGUUUGAGGAACGGUGAAAUUGUGGUGUCUGAGCAUUAGGGAGGAAUAGGCGAAGGUAUGGUUUUGGUUUCUUGUAAGUAAUAUAUAAUGUUGCGUGAAAACUUAGGCUAGUUGACUAUAAAUUAAGUUGAACUAAUAAAUGGAAUUGCUAAGGUUUAGUAAAUUUUGUGUGAAUUAUUGAAUUUGUGAUAAAGGUGUGUUGAGUAUUGAUAUUGAUGAGAAUUGUUGAUGAUGGUGGUGGUUAAUAAUGAUAGUAACUUAUGAUGAUGAAAUUGAUGAAUAAUGUUUGUAAUUUGGAUUGAAAAUUGUAUUGUAUAUUGAUGAGAUUAUAGGUAUGGAUGAUGAGAAAUAGUUGGAAAACAGAUAAAUUAUGAUUGCGUGGUUGUUUUAGUUAUAAACUUAUACUAUAGGAUUUAGAGUUUGGAAAGCAUAGAAAUUGUGGUGUUUUUGGUAAAAACUUGAUUUUUAACCAAUUUCGAUGAGUCAUAAUUCGGCAUUCGAACCUUUAAAUUUUGUCAAAUUUGUUUCUAACGAAUAUUGGGUCCGUAAAUUUUAUGUUGUUUGAAGAACGGAUGAAAAUCAUUUAAAACAAAAAAGUUAUGCCCGUUUGGAGUUUGGUACAAAAAUAUGAUUUAAUUUUUCUGCAACUUAGCCAUUUUGAUGAAAAUAGGGGACAUGCGUACGCGAGAAAAGAGUGAACCUAUAGGAGACGUUAAGUGGUAGUGGAUGGGGUUAUGGAGGAUGGAGUUCUAAUUGAGAAAAUGUGAAUGUGUUGGUUAUGAUAUGAAAGAGGGAAAAGUUUAGGGGACCAGCAACUUUUUUAAAUUUUGGCCAGCAUGUAACCAGCAAAGAAAAGUGAGUCAUUGGAUGAAAUCUCACAUUAAUCUUACACCAUUAAAAUCUUCAUUGAUGGCUAUUUGAUGGCUACAAAUCUCAAAAAUUGCUGAUUUCCUAACACUCCUUUAUAAAAGAGAACUAUAAUAAUAAUGAUUAAUUGAAAAUGAUGAAGUAUUGUUGAUAUAUGAUUAAUGAUUGAGAUAAUGUGGAUUGUUUUAAAAAGCGCAAACACAUUUCUUUGUAUUAUUAAUAUGCAUGUUGUAUUAAUUUCUUUACAAGCUAGUGGUUGACAAGUAUAAAUUU